AUGAUUUGAAAGUGUAGAGUAUUUAUAGGAAUUUUUUUGUGUUUAAAAAAAUAAUUUAAUUAAAAAAAAUUAAUAAAAAAAGCAUUAUAGCCAUUUUAGGCUCCCAACGGCUAUAUGACUGUUGGGCCUAACGGCUAUAAUGGCCCAAUGGCCAUUUUCCAAAAAAUCUAAUUUUUUUUUAAAAAAUAAAUAAAUCUUAUCCAGGUCGGUUAACCGGCGAGCCUGAACCGAUUUUGGUCUGAGCCGGGUUAACCGGGCCCAAAAAAAAUAACCUAGCCCGGGACUCGGUUGCUUAUAGCCCGGGGGCUGAUUGGGCUGGGUUGGUGUGAUGGGUCAGGCUGGGCCGAUUUGGACUGGAUCAAAUCGGCCCAUUUGACACCCUUAUUAUGAAUGGUACCAGAUAUGGCUUCUUUCAUUCUACCAGAGGACUAAAGCAAGGUGACCCUCUCUCCCCUGCUUUGUUCAUUCUUGGGGAUGAAGUUUUGUCAAGAGCUCUUAACAGUUUAUAUCAGCAUCCUCAAUACUAUGGUUUUCACAUGGUAUGGCAAGGUCCUCAAAUUAAUCAUCUCAGCUUUGCUGAUGACAUAAUCAUAUUCACUAUUGGAAAGAGGCAAACUCUGAGAUUGAUAAUGAAGACUCUGGCAUCUUAUGAAGAGUCUCAAGGGUUAAAGAUGAACUGGCUUCAGCAGAAACACAGCCCUAUCACAUACCUUGGAUGCCCAAUCUAUAUUGGCAGACAAAGGAUCAGUCAUUAUGUUGGGUUAGUCAGUAAAGUUGCUUCCAAGAUAACAGAUUGGCAUUCCGGAUUGCUUAGUUAUGGUGGUAAAGCUAUCUUGGUGAAACAUGUUCUACAAUCAAUUCUCAUUCAUAUCUUUUAAGCAUGUAGUCCUCCCAAGACUAUUCUAAAACACCUUGUGUGUCUGUUUGUUGAUUUCUUCUAGGGAUGGAAGACACUAAGAGAAAAUAUCACUGGGCAUCUUGGAGAAAUCUUUGUUUUCCUACUAAUGAGGAAGGAAUUGGUAUCAGGUACAUUGUUGAUACAUGUAAAACUAUGCAAUUGAAAUAGUGGUGGAUCUUCAGAACUAGGGACACUCUGUGGGGCAAUUUCUUGCUUGCUAAAUACUGUCAGAGGGUUAAUGUUGUGGCCAGAAAAGGUUUCAGUGGGCAGUCAAUGAUAUGAAAGGCCAUGAUAAGAAACAAAGAGGAAGCUGAACUAUAUUAUGGAGAAUCAAAUCUGGUACAUGCCUCUUUUGAUGGGAUAAUUGGUCAGGAUUGGGACCUUUACACAAGUACAAAGUUGAUGGAGUUAGAUCAAACAAUGCUAAGGUUGCAGCUUUCAUAAUUGAGAGUACAUGGAAUGUGCAGAAACUAACUACAACCCUUCCCCCACAGCUGCUACAAAGUAUUCUCAAAGUUGAAUUCCAUUUCCAAGAAGGGGUUCAGACUCCCCAAUCUGGACUCUAACUACAAGUGGUGAAUUUGUUGCACCUCUGCCUGGGGAAUUAGUAGAGGGCAUAAAGACAAAACCAUGAUGAAUACUCACACCUGGCAUAGAUUGAUCCCAUUCAAAUGCUCAUUUCUGUGUUGGGGAGUCCUAAGAAGGAAACUACCUACAAAUGAAAGACUCAACCAAUUUGGCAUUGCCCCUGCUACUUGUGGUUGUUGUUCUACUUCUGGCUGGAACACCAUCCCACAUACAUUUUUUGAUGGACCAUUUACUAGACACAUCUGGCACUAUUUCUCUGCAUCUCUAGGAUUGAUUCAUGACACAAGUUCCCUCAGAAACUUCUUGUUCGAGUGGUGGAAUUCUACGGCAACUAAUAAUGCUCAUAAGUUGGUCAUGCAGGCUCUUCCCAUUAUUAUCUAUUGGAACCGGUGGAAAAAUAGGUGUGCUGUCAAGUAUGGUGGAAAACAGCCUCAACUGGCCAGAGUUAAAUUCCUCAUUUACAAAGACAUAUCUUACUUAUUACAUACUGUUUUUUCAUACAUCCCUUGGCCUAUUGGAUGGUUCAACCUGAUGACAUAUGUUGAAAAAUGCAGACAAGAGACAAAAGUAACACCUGUGUACUGUCCAAACCACCAUCUAAUAUGGUUAAACUUAAUUAUGGUGGGAAGAUUGUAGCAGGGGGAAUCAUUAGAGAUCACAAUGGAGACCUCAUCUAUGCUUAUGCUACACCUUCGGGCCAGGGGACCAAUAAUCAAGCAGAAGUGGAGGCUGCUAUCUGGGGACUUUCUUGGUGUCUGGGGAAUAACAUACAUCAGGUUCUUGGUGUCUGGGGAAUAACAUACAUCAGGUUAUAUUGGAGGUGUAUUAUGAGCUCUUGGUCAGAUGGAUCAGCAAGCAAAUACCAGUUCCAUGGUAGCUGCAAACUCUUGUUGAAUCUUUGCUAAGGCUCAUAUCACAAUUCCCUUUGUGCAUUUGCAGACAUGUUUACAGGGAAGCCAAUUUUGUGGUUGAUGCCUUAUCCAAAAUGAGUCAUCAGUCAGACCAGCUUCAUCAUUAUUUCCAUUGUUGUCAACUUCCCCCCGAAGUAGCAGGAUAUUUUCAGCUAGAUAAGAUGGGCAUGCCAAGUUUUAGAAGAAAACUAAACAAGUUACAUGAGCCAUCAUAGAGCUAGCUUACCAGUUCAUAGAUUUAGAGUACAUUCUUUGUAUUUCCUUUGCAGUAGUUGCACUUUUUCAUCGUCCGACUUUCAAGACUACCAACAAGCAAAGUCAGGAGGCAAUGGCAGAACAGUGGGGGCUCAUUUGGAGGAACAACCUUGAGAGUGGCUAAGUGGCCACAAAA